AAAAACUAUAGUGAGAUGAGUGGGGUUUUUUUUUGUUCCAUUUUUGCAAAUUUCUUUAAUGUCCAGCUUAACAGGAAACAACUGGAUUUUCAUAUCUGCUUCUGCAUUCAAUCUGUUAUAUAAUACAUGUCAUGCCAACCCUGGAAACUCCACAGUCCUCUGAGAGGAGAACAAAGGCAAAACAGGCAAAUAACAUAUAAUUAUUAUUACAAAAAAUGCUUUGGCUUUGCAAAGCCCCUGAAAGGGUCUUAGGGACAUCCAGGCAUCCUGGAAUCAUACUUUGAGAACGAUGGCACUACAUUUUACUGCCUCUGAGUAUGCAGGGAGAAUGUCUUGGUUGAAUUUUAAGUGUUCCUUAAGAAACACUGUUUCUUUAAGUAAAUCCCAGCCUGCUGUGGUAGAAGGCGCAGAGGCUGGGUAGCCAGAGAAUGGGGUGCAACCCUAGUUCUGUGCGUGAGAGUUCUUGACCUUCACUAAGUUCUCUCCAUCUCAGUUUCCUUAUCUUUAAAACGAGGCUCAUUACCAAUCCCUUCCAGGGUCAUCCCAGGCUUUCCAAAAAAUAUGUGAUAAGGUGCCUAACAGGUGCUGACACAAGAGGAUGUCUGACCAAGUGUAGCUUUUAUUUCAGAUAGACUAAUGAUGGCCAGGGAGGAAGGAGAGGGGCCACGACCAGCAAAAAGGGAAGGAGAAGAGAGCCACCAAGGACAAAGCCACAGACUCUCAGCUAGAAGCCUUUCAAGCCAGGUGUUUAGAGACUCAGAUGUUUGGACUUUUAGGAACUUAUUGGGGUGCAUAUACUGUAGAUACUGUCAGACCUCCAUAAGACUUGGAGGACCAUUUGAUAAUCAAACACAUUUAUACUUCUGGAGAGGGAUAUAUUCCACUCAUACCAAGGCCUAUAAAUAGCCUUCUGUCUGGCCAGGUUUUGAUGCCAACGGAUUUACAAAAAGUAUUUCAGUGUUCAGAACUCAGGGAUUUGGGACUGUAGAUGAGGGACUGUGGAACUUAUUGGGCUUCUGUGCCAGCACCAAGCUAGGGAUUGUGCCCACGCCCUUUCAUUUCAUCCUUUCAACUCCAUGAGCAAGAAGCAGACAUCUAAGGAUCUGGAGAGAUCUUUGCCUAGUAUUUGCCUUGCAAUCAACUUUAGAGGACCCCAGGGUUGGAGCAGUGGCUUCUGGCUUUCUGAUUAUGGCUGUUGCCUGCAAUUUAAAGUCCUAAUGUUCAUUUUGUUUGAAGAGGGAUGGAGGAGGAGUUAGACACGUGGAGUGUGUGUGUAUGUGCGUGUGUGUGUGUGUGUUUCAGGAUGAACUCAAUAGCACCAACAAAUAUCUUAAUGAGGGUACACAGAAAGUUUAUAUUUAACUUGUUGAAAAUCCACCUAGCCAUGAUCCUAAUUUCCUGAAGAAUAAAUGUAAGGUGAGAUGAUAUGUUUUGGAUACCAAUAAGAUCCACUACCUGCUACAUUUAUAGGGAUAGAAAUUGAACAAAUGGCAACAUUUCAAAAUCUGCCAAAAAGAGCCCCAACUGAUUGUUUUCAUGUUUAUAAUCUCCAACUUACAGAAUUUCACAGAGGAACAAGCUGUAAAGUUGCCUGAAGAUAAGUCCUGGCUAUGAAUUAAUGUUGAACAACAUGAAAAGAUUACAGGUAUUGAUCCUAAAAGCACUCCCCAAUAAAAGUCCUGCAUGUAAAUCUCCACCUCAGACCCUGUUUCUCAGGCAAAGUUUGCAGACCCUGAACUAGAGUCAAGUACAGUAAAACUUGACAGGAGAAGUGCUGAUUGUGAUAAGGAAGGAAAAAUAGACACCAAAGAAGAUGCAAAACUGAGCCAGCAAGUACUAGCAGGAGUGGAAGAAUAUAUAUGGGAUGAAUCCUGAAGGGCCUGGGUUAAGAAGGAUGCAAUAUAUAGUUGGAUACUGGAAACUUUAUCUACAUGGGAGCACUCCCCUGAGAUAGAGAAUUUAGCACUCUUCUUGGUUGACUCUUGGGGUAUCUUUGUUGACUCUUUUCUUUCUUAGAAAUGCAGUGAUCAACUAUGUGGAGGAGAUAUGUGAGAAAUGCCUUAGCAGACGAUGAAGAAAGAGAUCAAAAGGCUCCGAGAAGCAGGAAUGCUAUGGUGGAUAUGCAGUCAGCUCUCUGUAUCUGUGGGUUCAAUCUACCUCGGACUGAAAAUAUUCAGCAUUUGGGAAAAAAGUGGCAUCCCAUACUGAACAUGUGCAGACAUUUUUUUCCUUGUCAUGAUUCCCUAGUCAAUACAGUAUAGUGACUAUUUACAUUGCAUUCACAUGAUAUUAGGUAUUAUAAGUAAUCUAGAGGUGAUUUAAAGUGUAUGGGAGGGUAUGUGUAGGUUAUAUGUAAAUCCUAGGCCAUUUUAUAUCACAGACUUGGGUAUCUACAGAUUUUGGUAUCCAAGGUAGGUUCUGGAACCAAUCCUUUAUGGAUGCUGAGGGACAAUUGUACGCUGGUUCUCCCUAUCCAUGGUUUUGCUUUCCACAGUUUGGUUACCCCCAGUCAACUGUGGGCUGAAAAUAUUAAAUAGAAGAUUCCAGAAAUAAAUAAUUCAUAAGAUUUAAAUUGCACAUUGUUCUGAGUAGUGUGAUGAAGUCUUGCACUGUCCCCCCCAGGAUGUGAAUUGUCCCUUUGUCCAGUGGAUACAUACUGUCUACACUUCCCUCCAGUUAGCCACUUCACCAUCUUGGUGAUCAGAUGGACUGUCAAGGUAACUCAGUGCUUGUGUUCAAGGCACCCUCAUUUUACCUAAUAAUGGCCCCAAAGCACAAGAGGGGUGAUGCUGGUGAUUCAAAUAUGCCAAAGGGAAGCCAUAAAGUGCUUCCUUUAAGUGAAAAGGUAAAAGUUCUUGAGGAAAAAAAAAUUAUAUGCUGAGGUUGCUAAGAUCCAUGGUAAGAACAAAUAUUUUACCUGUGAAAUUGUGAAGAAGGACAAAGAAAUUUAUGCUAGUUUUGUGGUUAUACCUCAAACUGCAAAAGUGCCACAGUGCAUGUAUAGGAAAAUACAUCAUAUAUAUGGGGCUUGGUACUAUUCGCGGUUUCAGGCAUCCACCUGUUGGGUGGCCUUGGAACGUAUUUCCCACAGAUAAUGGGGGCCUACUGUACUUUGUAAGACCGAACAAUCCACCAGUUCACUGUAUUUCACAGGGGCACCCAGAAGGCAACCUUUUACCAAAGCUGUAAAGAAUGAGCUGGUGAGAGGGCCAAUGUGUCAAUAAGAAACUCAAUGGUGGCUACCCCCUCUAGGGGAGGGCUGAUACUGUAUACUGUGCCAGGAUUCUAUAGAACUGUGAUCUCUAAAAGCAAUGGGGAUGGUAAGAUCCCAGAUUGAUAGAGGCCGGGUGGCAGACCAUAGGUAGCAGACCAAGAAGGAUGCAAUUAUUAUCAUGAAUGGAAAGGUUGGAGUGGCAGCCAGGGGUCCUCACCCAUAGAGAGCUGUGGAGAUGGUUACUAGACCACAGUGUUAUUAAGGGCAAGAUACAGGGGCACAUAAGAAUAAUGCCAACACUUCACUGAAGAGUCAUGGCCAAUUUCCAGAUCUGAGCCUAUCCUUCGACCCAGAACCUGUUGACUGGAGAGGCUAGUUUAAGGAAGGAGCCUGCUGUACUAUGGCAAGUUCAUAUGAUAACAAUUCCCCCAGUCUUUACUCAGAGGGAUCUGUGGCCACUUACUUGGGUAACUGUUCAAUGGGAAAAAGGGCAAUCCUAGAUAUUUCCAGGACUCUUAGGCAUGGUCCAAUCUCCACUGAUAUUCAGGAAGUUUUGUUUCAUCCAGGCCCCUUGCUGAAGUGGGAGCUUAUGAAGAGUAAGAAAUAAGAAGUCCAUACCCAGUCGAUUUCACAAGGGAUUCUUUGGCUCCAUGGAUCCACCUGGCGGUCAUUUGUUCAGUCUUUGGAUGUAUAAUUGAAAUCCAUAGUAGUCAGCAGAAUCUUCUCAUUAGUUCCUUGGUUUGUAGGGCCAACCAGUAUGGUCUGUAGUGAAGAGGGCUACGUAGAAGCCUCUGAAACUUUCUUACCAUGGCCAAGAGAAUAAAUAAAAAAAAUAUAUCACAUCCAGGGGAAUGGCCAAGAAAUCUGGCACUGUAAACAUGCUCAGCGCUACAAGUGGUCCCCAUCAUGUCCCUAUUUAAUUAUCAUUCUGUUCCCCUUCAGAACCAGGGGUCCUGAUAAUUGACAGUGGAUCUCCAUGAAGUAAGUAAUUACUUAAUAUAUCUAUUGCCACUACCAAACGUCCAACCUGCCAGCAACAGAAACCAACACCGAGCUCUUCAACAAACAAAGUCCCCAGAGGAGACUAGCCGCUUGUUAGCAGCUUGAUUACAUCGGAUCCCUUUCAAUCUGGAAAUGGCAGUAAUUGAUUUUGACUGGAAUUGACACAUAUUCCAGAGAUGGCUUUACCUUUCCUACCCACAGGGACUCAGGUAGCAUGACCACCUGUAGGCUUACAGAUUAUAUGAUAAACUGACAUGGAAUCCUGCAUAACGUGACUGUGGACCACUGGCCCCAUUUUAUAGCAAAGGAAGGGAAACAAUGGACAUAUGAUGAUAGGAUCUACUGGUCUCAUCACAUAACACCAUCCAGAAACUGCCUAUCUACUAGAGUUUUUUGAAAGCACAGCUAAAGUGCCAGCCUGCAGAUGAUACAUUGUAAGGACAGGGUGGCAUUGAACCAAUGCCCAUUAUAUAGUGCUACGUUUCCAGUAGGUGAGAUUGAUGGCCUCAGUAAACAAUGAUUGGGGCCUGGUGUGGUGGCUCAUGCCUGUAAUGCCAGCACUUUGGGAGGCCAAGACUGGU